rnacentral:tRNA from 1 species
UCCUCUGUAGCUCAGUGGUAGAGCAAUCGGCUGUUAACCGAUGGGUCGCAAGUUCGAAUCUUGCCGGAGGAGCCA